CCCUCUUUAGUGAAGCUUUCCUCUGCAAAUCUGGACUCUUCUGAUAUGGGAAAGGCUGACACCAAGUGAGCUGCGUCCUUGCAUCAUCUUGUUUUUGCUUUAAUAGUCGUGACUCCACCUCAGAAUAUUCCUGCAGCUUCAGGUCAGCUCGCAGGGAGCUGUUGGGUCUCUUCUCCAUGAAACAGAGCUGGAAAGGUGUUUCUGUGCUGAAAACUAUGUCUUGGGUUAACUGCAGUUAAAGAGGAAGAAAGUUGCCAGGAGGAAUGACAUCAUGCACAUCUGUAUAUAGCUGCAAGAGGAAGGUGAAGGUCGGGGAGGAAGGCUCACACCUCCGCACUGGUGGGCUGACACCAGGCACCCACCUCCACCAGACGUGGCUGGAAAGCUGUGCCUGCAUGGAAACUCCUGGAGGUGGUUCUGAGUCGCCCAGACCAAAUGCAAACAGCCAGAACAACAAAAAAGUGAGGAUUACAGCAGCUGGAUUUAUUCUUUUCUGACUUUUUUUCCUUUUAAUUAUUUUAUUUAUUUUUUUUUUUAAGAAAAAAAAUCUAUAUCCAAAUAUGUUUUCGAGUUGAAACAAAGUCAGGAUCUACUGUAUGUCUGUGUGCCCUCAAGUCUGUAGGAGCAGCUCUCACCAGUUGCACCCAGCUGGAGGAUGGGAGCCUGGCAGGCUACCACCUUCCCUUCCCAGCAGCCAUGGGAGCCCAUGGAAAGCAGAGCAUAAAUUCAAACCAUUUAAAGAGUGAUUAAGACUUCUCCUGAUUACUGCUCUGCAUGGUAUUGAAUGGUUUGGAUGGUGGUGAUUUAUUGAAGUAAUAUAUAAUAUGCUCCGUUCGGUUAAAGGUCCCCAUCAAGCACAAUCCAGAUGAAUAAAAAAGUAAAAAGAGGGAGAGAGUGUGCUGUAAGAGGAAAUCUCCUUGGAUUUAAGAGAAAUUGAAAUAUGUACAUGGUAAUCUGUGUCCAAAGCUUUUAGCACUUCAGAAAGUGCCAGUUGCUAAUACCUCUGGCUAAAGGCAGCGUUACGUGGAUGGCUGAUGAUCCCAGGGCCUUCCUCCUUCCCUCCACCACUGACACCUGGCUCCUCCACCUGGCCUACCCUGCGGCAGAUGCUGGGUUUUUUGUUAAUAUCUGUUUUAUUCCAUGAUGCAG
ensembl:lncRNA